rnacentral:rRNA from 1 species
AACGAACGCUGGCGGCAGGCCUAACACAUGCAAGUCGAACGCCCCGCAAGGGGAGUGGCAGACGGGUGAGUAACACGUGGGAACCUUCCCUAUAGUACGGAAUAGCCCAGGGAAACUUGGAGUAAUACCGUAUACGCCCGAAAGGGGAAAGAAUUUCGCUAUAGGAUGGGCCCGCGUAGGAUUAGCUAGUUGGUGAGGUAAUGGCUCACCAAGGCGACGAUCCUUAGCUGGUUUGAGAGAACGACCAGCCACACUGGGACUGAGACACGGCCCAGACUCCUACGGGAGGCAGCAGUGGGGAAUAUAGGACAAUGGGCGCAAGCCUGAUCCAGCCAUGCCGCGUGAGUGAUGAAGGCCUUAGGGUUGUAAAGCUCUUUUGGCGGAGACGAUAAUGACGGUACCCGCAGAAUAAGUCCCGGCUAACUUCGUG